rnacentral:piRNA from 1 species
UNCUGGAAGAUAGCUCCAUGCUUGUA